CCUACGUGUGACAGCAGUGAGGAAUAUUGGUCACUGGACGAGAGUCUGAACCCGCCAAGUAGCGUGACGGAUGACUGCCCUAUGGGUUGUAAACUUCUUUUAUAUGGGAAUAAAACAGUGUAUGCAUACCCUCUUGUAUGUACCAUAUGAAUAAGUAUCGGCUAACUCCGUGCCCGCAGCCGCGGUAAUACGGAGGAUCCGAGCGUUAUCCGGCUGUAUUGGGUUUAAAGGGAUCGUAGGUGGAGUGUUAAGUUAGUUGUGAACGUUUGCGGCUCAACCGUAAAAUUGCAGUUGAAACUGGCAGUCUUGAGUACAGUAGAGGUGGGCGGAAUUCGUGGUGUAGCGGUGAAAUGCUUAGAUAUCACGAAGAACUCCGAUUGCGAAGGCAGCUCACUGGACUGCAACUGACACUGAUGCUCGAAAGUGUGGGUAUCAAACAGGAUUAGAUACCCGGGUAGUC
rnacentral:rRNA from 1 species